CCCUCUCUCUCUUUCUCUCUCUCCCUCUCUCUCUCUCUCUCUUCUCUCUGGCAGGACGCUCCGUUUCCUCUCGGCUUUGUGGGAACGGGAAGCGGCUUCAUUGUGCUCGAGCUGCUGCGGUUUAAUCAUUAAUGAGCUCUGAAAGUCGGACGGGACAGGCAUGAUGCAGCCCACACAACGUGUUUGUAAAAACCGUCUCCAGGCAGCGCGAGCCGUCCGGCCGCGUCCUUCACGGCACCGUGAGCUCGUGCUCUCAGGUUCAGUUCACCGGACUGUUACCGCGGGGCGCGAGGACCCGGUCACACCACCACCUCACCUAUAAAGGCCCCGGGACGAGUUACAGAUUAACGGAGGGGAGAGAGCGCUGCAUCACGAGGAGGACGGCGAGCGCACAACUGGAGCAUAAUGUGGAAUUCCCCUGAUGUUCCCGCCAUGAUGAUCAUAAUCUGCACAGAGAGAGAGAAUAAAAUCGAGGUGUUUGGAUGUCGAGAAGAAAAGAAAUAAACCAGGGGGGUGAUGGG